GAAAGAAUUAAGGUUUUUUUGACUGGUGCGGUGUUACCCUGAGAUCAAUGCUCGACUCUGCUCAAACGACAGAUGAAAUGACUUCGAAGUGUGUCGCAAGCUGAGUCCCAGACAGUCAAGCGUGAGACCCAGAGGAUGCCAUCCCAGGAUUUGGAAGGUUUCGAAGGCUUUUGGCUCGGGUUUUUUUCAGUUUCAAGGUUUUGGAUGCUGAACAUCUAAGUGGUGCGCUUUCUCCUCGGCAGAGUGCGGCUCAGUGGCGAGUACGCACUUGUUUGCUAUUGAUGAAGCACAGAUGUAGCAGGAAAAUGAGCAUGUCAUGAGUGAAGCCAAGACAUAACAACCUCAGACAAACCAUCCAUUGUGUUUGACUCACUUUUUUCCUUCCUCUGUGAGAAGAAUCCAUGUACGUCCAACAGAUCUUAACCAGAUUAGGGCUGGACUACUUCAUUAAACAGAAAAUCUUCUGUUAA